rnacentral:lncRNA from 1 species
AUGCAUCGCGGUGUCACUCUGUUACUGAGCUGCAAACGUUUGGGUCCUGAUCCGCAGCAGCUGUUCAUCGCAGCCGCAGGCUGCCGGCUGGCAGCACCUCCUGCGAGAAGCCAUUCUGGCGUCCCCCAGGCAGGCGGCCGCAAUGGCCUGAACGCGCGCAGCGCUGCUUGCCUUGCCGGUGGAGCAGGCAGCCGUGCGGGGCCGCAGGGCUCUGCCGCGCGUGGCGGCAGCGGUCUGGCCCACGUCCCCAAGGCCCCGCAGCCCCACGGCCCCGCCGGUGCACGCAGCGCUGCUGCCCACCACCAGCCAGGGCAUCCCUCGCGCUCGGGGCCACAGGGGAUGGGCAGGCGGGUCCCUGCCUGGCGGCAGCUCCACAGCCACCAGCCUCUCCAUUGCCAGCGCCGCUCUGGCCCCUCCUCGUGCCGCGGCACACAAGACCGGGCCCCUCGUGCCGUCACUCCUGGUGUGCCACUGCCUCUCGCCAAGCCACCGCCUCUCCGGAAGACCACAAGGCUUCCUCUCGCCACCGCACGGUCGGCAACAACAGCGGCCACCCCAGGCUCUGCUUGGGAGGUGUUUCAACCCGGACACUCCCGCCAGCUCUCCUGCUCCUGCCAGGCCCCUGCAGGGACUCGGCAGAAGCAGAAAGGGAAGGAAGCAGCCAUCCACGCAGGAGGCGGCUGCCCUGCGGAGAAUCCCUCGUGGACCAGUGCUGGCGACCCCAUUAGCAGCAGGAUCACAAAGCCCCUUCCUCAUGCACCGGCUACAGGCUCUGCACCACGCCACUGCGCUCCCACCGGCCUGGCCUCGGCAGCACCCGCCAGCACCCCCCCAGCCUGCAGCGGCUCGCAGCUCGCCUGCUCGCCCGUUAGGAGCCAGGCACUCCCUGCACACGAAAUGCUUCUUGGACAAGGGAUUUUCAGAGGCUGCAGGGCCCCAGCUCAGCAAGCUGACAUCAUACGCCUGAUGUUGCCAAACAAGGAUGAGCUGUUGCUAGAACAAUCAAUUUUUAAAUAUCUCUCUGCCUGUUACCCUUAG